rnacentral:rRNA from 1 species
UACGAAGGGUGCAAGCGUUAAUCGGAAUUACUGGGCGUAAAGGGUGCGUAGGCGGUUCGUUAAGUCUGUCGUGAAAUCCCCGGGCUCAACCUGGGAAUUGCGUUGGAGACUGCAAGGCUGGAGUCUGGCAGAGGGGGGUAGAAUUCCACGUGUAGCAGUGAAAUGCGUAGAGAUGUGGAGGAAUACCGAUGGCGAAGGCAGCCCCCUGGGAUGAUACUGACGCUCAUGCACGAAAGCGUGGGGAGCAAACAGG